rnacentral:tRNA from 2 species
GGGCGGUUAGCUCAGCUGGCUAGAGCGCCACGUUGACAUCGUGGAGGUCGUUGGUUCAAGUCCAAUACCGCCCA